rnacentral:ncRNA from 1 species
AGAAUAAUUUUUUAUAGUUAAAAAAAUUUAUAGUUAAAUUUAUUUUACAUAUAAAUUAUUGUAUUAAAUUUUAAUUAUUUUAAAAAUAUGAAAAUAAAAAUUAUAGUAAUUAAUAUUAAAAAUUUAAGAAAUUAAGAUUUAGUAAUAUAAAAAUUAAUAACAAAUUUUGUGCCAGCAGUUGCGGUUAUACAAAAAUUAAAUUAAAUUUUAUUAAUAAUUAAUAAAUAAUAUAAUAAAUUAAUAUAAAUAUUAAAUUAUAAGGUGAAAUUUUAAUUUAGUUAAAAAUUUAAAAAAAUUAUGAAUUAAUAAAUUUUAUAAUAAACUAGGAUUAGAUACCCUAUUAUUAAAAAUUUAAAUUAAAAAUAUUAAAAUAGUAAAUAAUUUUUUAUUGAAACUUAAAUAAUUUGGCGGUAUUUUAGUUCAUUUAGAGGAAUCUGUCUAAUAAUUGAUAAUCCACGAAUAAAUUUACUUAAUUUAAAAUUUUGUAUAUCGUUGUUAAAAAAAUAUUUUAAAAUAAAAAUAAUAUUUAAGAAUUAAAAAUAAAAAUUAAAUCAGAUCAAGAUGCAGAUUAUAAUUAAGAAUAUGAUGGAUUACAAUAAAUUUUAUUUAAAUGGAAAUUAAUUUGUAAAAAUUAGUUGAAAGUGGAUUUAAAUGUAAUUUUAAUUAAUUUAUUAAAAUGAAUAAAAAUUAAAAUAUGUACAUAUUGCCCGUCGCUUUCAUAAAUAAAUUGAAAUAAGUCGUAACAAAGUAGAGGUACUGGAAAGUGUUUCUAGAAAGAA